rnacentral:lncRNA from 1 species
UCCCUCAAUUCUCUCUGCCUUGGUGUGCAACCUCACCCAUUCUCUGGGUGUCAAUUCCCAAACUUCAUGAUGAAGCCCAAAUCUCCAGGCUGACUCUCACAUCUGAACACCAGACCAUGUAUCCAACCAUUGGCUCAAAUCUUUCUGCCCAUCUAAGGGAACAGGAAUAGAAGGUACCCAAAAUGAGGUCCAGAGGUCAGAGCUUCCAACCAUAGAGGAUUUGUUCCAGGCCUGGAAACCUCAUAGCAUUUGCCCUGAUGGGUUUUAAACUUGCUCAGGACCCAUGACCCCUUUUUCUCCUUUUGAAAUGGGAAUGUCUAUCCUUUGCUUGCCCCAUCACCGUAUUUUGGAAGCAGAUCACUUGCUUUCUGAUUUCUCACAGGUUCGCAGAUGGAGAGGAAUUUUGCCCCACAAUGGACCACACUCUGAGUCUCCCUCAUACCUGCUGUAGAUGACUGACAUGAAGAGUUGUGGGAUUCUCAUCAGAUGAGAUGAAACUUUGAGUUGAUGGUGCUUAGAUGAGAUUUUGCACUUAGAGUUGACGCUGGAAUGGAUUAAAACUUUGGGACCACGUUGUACAGGACGCAUGGCUGGGGAGGACUCGAGAAACUUACAAUCAUGGCGGAAGGCAAAGGGGAAGCAGGCACGUGCUACAUGGCUGGAGCAGGAGGAAGAGAGUGAAGGGGGAGGUGCUACACACUUUUAAACAACCAGAUCUCGUGAGAACUCACUCACUAUCAAGAGAACAGCAAGGGGGAAGUCCACCCCCAUGAUCCAGUCACCUCCCACCAAGCCCUUCCUCCAACACUGGAGAUUACAAUUUGACAUGAGAUUUAGGUGGGGACACAAAUCCAAACCCUAUCACAAGAAGACGACAUUUGGACACAGACAUGGACAGAGGGAAGAUGAUGUGAAGAUAUAGAGAGAAGAUGGCCAUCUACACACCAAGGAGAGGCUUCAAAAGGAACCAACACUGCCAACACCUUGCUCUCGAGCUUCUGGCCUCCAGAACGGUGAGACAAUAUAUUUUUGCUGUUUAAUCCACCCAGCUGGUGGAACUUUGAUAUGGCAGCCCUAGCAAACUCAUAGAGGAAAAGUGCUCGUAGCAUCUAGUGAGUUGAGGCCAGGGAUGCUGCUCAGCAUCCUAUAAUGCACAGGACGGCCCACAGCUGAGAGUGAACAGGCCCAUUAUCAGCAGUGCUGCAGUAGCCCAUUAUCAGCAGUGCUGCAGUUGAGAAACCCUGGCCUAAGCUUAAAUAUCCAUCCUUUCCCAGAACUCUCCCGUCCCCUGAGAUGAAGUCCUUGUAUAACACACUUCCACUGGACUCUGUUAUUCAUUUCGAACUCUGACCACCCAGCUGACCGUGAGCUCCACGGAGGAGGGGUCGGUGUUUUCUUUGUGACUGUUUCCUGGUCCCCAUCUCACCAUCGGAUGACAGUAGUGGUGUUACCCGCUUCAAGAAGUAACAAAAUAGGUCAGGCACGGUGGCUCACACCUGUGGUCCCAGCACUUUGGGAGGCCGAGGUGGGCGGAUCACCUGAAGUCAAGAGUUCGAGACCAGCUUGGCCAACAUGGUGAAACCCCGUCUUUACUAAAAAUACAAAAAUUAGCCGGGCAUGGUAGCGCACCCCUGUAAUCCCAGCUACUCGGGAGGCUGAGGCAGGAAAAUCGCUUGAACCCGGGAGGCAGAGGUUGCAGUGAGCCGAGAUCGUGCCACUGCACUCCAGCCCAGGUGACAGAGCGAGAUGCUGUCUCAAUUAAAAUAAAAUAAAAAAAGAAGAAGUAACAAAAUAGAGCCUGGCCCAGAAGACUUACCAAAAAUAUACUGAAGAGCAACACAAGACUUAGAUCUAAGAAUUGUUCCCUGUCAAGAAGAAAACAGAGAUUCCAGACACAAGAGUGGAUGGCACUUUUAAGAAACAAAGUUUAUGGCCGGGCGCGGUGGCUCACGCCUGUAAUCCCAGCACUUU